rnacentral:lncRNA from 1 species
AAAUGAUGUUUUAAUAAAAGACUACUGCAAAAAAUUCCUCCACCUUAAAGCAUAAUCGAACUUGCAUAACACGACAGUCAUAGGUGAUUCAGGUAAAUACAGAGGGAUAACACACGCUGCUCAAUUAGUUCUAAUGGUAAAUGUUGUUUUAUUACAUCCUCAAAUAGAGGCCUCACAUUCGAACUUGGGAAACAUUAAGUCAAUAAGUGCACUAAAAUGAAUAUAGUGUGAAUAGACUUCCUUCAUCAAUUAGCCUCGCUGAAUUUGUUAAAUUAUCACACAAAUUUUCUUAAGUUCUUGAUGAGGUCUCUCUUAAGAGUUAUCUCCUCUGUUUAAUCCUUCAGUCUUUCAUACUCGCAAAUAUCAAUACUAUGUGUCCUGAAAGAAAUUGGGAGUGUAACACUACUUGGUUUGUUCUGUCAUGUAACCUGAGAUAAUUUCUUUUCUCAGCUUCUGAUUGUCGCCUCUCAUAUGUAAAUCAUAUAACCACCAGAACUGACGUAUACAGUUUUGGAGUUGAAGAAAAACCGCCCCCACGGAGAACAUAAUCUAAUCCAAUAGGCUUAAGCCUUUAUAGAUUACCUCUAUUUUAUAGUUUACUGACAAAUUAAAGUUCAUCUCAAGAGUUGUACAUGUUCAUGAAUAAAAGUAAUAAACUUAAUUUUAUUUCUUUAACAUGUGAUGCACUCACUGUAUUACUUCAGAAAUAAUGAAUAGUUGGUGCAGUUAUACAAUAUCUCUUUACUUACCGUUUGUCUACUAUAGAUUCGAAGACCACAGGGUGAGAUUGUAUUCAUUUUGUCCCUAUAUAAGAUGACAUAGUUAUGUCGAUUAUUGUCUCCUAACUCCUUGGAGAAGAGAUUUUCCAUUUUGUAUAGGAUAGUCAAGGGAUGGGAUGGGGGCCGUUGUAAUCCAGCAAAACUCAAUGGGAUGGAUGGGUGAGGAUUUAGGGGUAGCCGGUGUAGGAUAGUCCAGGGAUGGGAUGGGGGUUGGAUGCAAUGGCUAAUUUGGAAUUUUCACUAAGG